rnacentral:rRNA from 1 species
CAGUAGUCAUACGCUCGUCUCAAAGAUUAAGCCAUGCAUGUGUAAGUCUAAAUAGUUUUAGUGUGAAACUGCGAAUGGCUCAUUAUAUCAGUUAUAGUUUAUUUGGAAUAGUUUCUAUAUGGAUAACCGUAGUAAUUCUAGGGCUAAUACAUGUGUUUUCUUUGGUGGGCAACCAUUAAAGAAGUACUUAUUAGGCAUAAAACCAAAAUUUMGUUGUGAGUAAUAAUAAUUGUUGACUUUAUCGCAUGCUUGUUAGUAGCGAUGUUCCUUUCAAGUUUCUGCCCUAUCAGCUUUCGAUGGUAGUGUAUUGGACUACCAUGGCAGUAACGGGUAACGAAGAAUUUGGGUUCGAUUUCGGAGAGGGAGCCUGAGAGAUGGCUACCACAUCCAAGGAAGGCAGCWGGCGCGUAAAUUACCCAAUCCUGACACAGGGAGGUAGUGACAAUAAAUCUC